AUUGAACGCUGGCGGCAGGCCUAACCCAUGCAAGUCGAACGAGUGGCGGACGGGUGAGUACUGUCUGGGAAACUGCCUGAUGGAUGGGGAUAACUACUGGAAACGGUAGCUAAUACCGCAUACCAUCGGAUGUGCCCAUAUGGGAUUAGCUAGUAGGUGGGGUAUCGGCUCACCUAGGCGACGAUCCCUAGCUGGUCUGAGAGGAUGACCAGCCACACUGGAACUGAGCCACGGUCCAGACGCCUACGGGAGGCAGCAGUGGGGAAUAUUGCACAAUGGGCGCAAGCCUGAUGCAGCCAUGCCGCGUGUAUGAAGAAGGCCUUCGGGUUGUAAAGUACUUUCAGCGGGGAGGCGUUACCCGCAGAAGAAGCACCGGCUAACUCCGUGCCAGCAGCCGCGGUAAUUC
rnacentral:rRNA from 1 species